UACGAAGGGGGCUAGCGUUGUUCGGAAUCACUGGGCGUAAAGGGCGCGUAGGCGGCUUUAUAAGUCGGGGGUGAAAGCCUGUGGCUCAACCACAGAGUUGCCUUCGAUACUGUAGAGCUUGAGACCGGAAGAGGUAAGUGGAACUGCGAGUGUAGAGGUGAAAUUCGUAGAUAUUCGCAAGAACACCAGUGGCGAAGGCGGCUCACUGGCCCGAUACUGACGCUGAGGCGCGAAAAGCGUGGGGAGCAAACAGG
rnacentral:rRNA from 1 species